rnacentral:rRNA from 1 species
UACGUAGGGUGCAAGCGUUAAUCGGAAUUACUGGGCGUAAAGCGUGCGCAGGCGGUUAUGCAAGACAGAGGUGAAAUCCCCGGGCUCAACCUGGGAACUGCCUUUGUGACUGCAUAGCUAGAGUACGGUAGAGGGGGAUGGAAUUCCGCGUGUAGCAGUGAAAUGCGUAGAUAUGCGGAGGAACACCGAUGGCGAAGGCAAUCCCCUGGACCCGUACUGACGCUCAUGCACGAAAGCGUGGGGAGCAAACAGG